CAGAAAUUUGACUUAGUGUAUUUUUACUGAUUUGUACUUUAUAACAGCAAGUCUGUUGCCCAAGAGAUGUUUACUUCACAGUACUUUUAGAAAUAAACAUCUUUAAAAGAUUUUAUCUUUCAAACCCUCUCCUUUCGUGUCUAAGAAAGAUAUGUUUAGACAAAACCACACGGAAAUAUUUAAACAUAUUUAAACAGAAUUACAUAUUUGUGCUGUCUGGAUAUGUUUUUAAAAAACUUCAGCCUCUCUACAGAUUCCUUCAUCCUGGGACUGGUGGCAAUUGCUCAUGGAAGGGCAUCCCUGUUUGAUGGGGCUGGAGCAUCUCUGAGUGGCAUCACAGCUUGGUAUCCAGUGGCACCAGGAGCAGCACUCCAUCCAGGUGCAGCUGUGCAGGAGGGAGGGAUGCUCUGGCCACCUCAGGGAGGAGCUCAGAUGUGCAGCCAGGGCUUUUGUCACUGUGCCACAGUGUCUUUCAGCCUCACACAAAAUGCAGAAAUCAAAAUUGGGGCAGUGAUAGCUGUUCUCUUUACAGCUAUGGGCAGUACUUUAGCUGGUAGUACAACAGGGUUUGUGCAAAGACAUUACCAUAGCAGUAAUUCCAGGGUGUAGUGAUUAGUGCAGAUUACAUUAGCUGUGCAGUGGAGUUCCAUGCAGAUGAAACAUAAAUACCCACAAAGUCCUGGUACCAGGAAAUGGAAAGAAGAUAAAGUGCCACCAAUGAUGGCUCUUUAUUUCUCCAGGUUCUUUUAAAGUGCCAAUACAUAAGUACUUUACAAGAUGAGGAUUGCAAAACAGACUCUGUUCUUGAUGAUUGUUUUAUCUGCCAAAGAAUUAUGCCUGGUUUAUUCUUUCUCUGCUAGCAUAGGUUAUUUCCAGAGGAAGCUUGUCUGCUAUCACGGUCUGUAGAGAUGUAAGAAAUGCACAUGAGUGUAAAUUUAUUCCGGAUACCACGGAUGUUUCUUGCUUUGUUUCAGUCUGGUUUGUUGCUCUUGGGUUUUGUUUUGUUUGCUUGUUUGUUUUCCACAGAAGAUGGUACCUUAGGGCUGUAUAGAGAGUUUUCCUGUGGUUUUGCUGGAAAUUGCACAAUAUGGUCUGAUUUUCCCAAGUCAGCAGGACUUACAAGAUGAUGGUUUUCCAUUGUCCAACAUCCCAACCCGCAGGACAAUUUUAUAUAGCAUUUGCAACACAGAAAGAAAUCCAAAAUUUCUGAGAUUCCAUCUUACAGAACUCCCAAAUGCUGAUUGGAAGAAAGGAAAAUUUGAAACUUGGCCAAAAGCAAUGGUUUAAAUACCUGAGGAAAAGUCACAGAUACCCUGAUUUGCUCGUUUUAAGGUUGGAACAAAGUAUGUCUGACCUAUUGGUGAGGAGAUUUCAUCACAUUGGCAAAGAGGUAUUCUGAGUGUGGAGAACAAUGAGCAGCAACGUAGAGAAACAUGUGUUUCUAAUUAAAUUCUACAGAACACAGAUAUCUUAUGUAUACCUUGUUCUAUCAGGGGCAAGCAGAGGUGAAUGAAAAAUCCCUGGAAACUGUUUGGAUUGCUCUGAUGCAGCUCCUUGGUUGUUCAAAGGGAAGGAGGUGGCUGGUGCUGCUUUGUGAAUCUCCCAGUCUUGGUGCAAGUGUUAAAUUUAGUCUCAGAACACUUACUGGAAUUAACUUGGACUCGGAACAGCCGUGGGAUUGAACUCCUCAGGAGUUUUAGAGAGCAGGUGAUCUUAUUUCUGAAUCCCAGUAAGAAUCAGGGGCCUGCAGAGCUCAGCACUGUCAAGAUGAAAGCGCUGGGAAUUGGCACAACUGCUGGGAAUAUUCAGUCUAAGGUGAAUUUUGAUGCUUUCCCUGAGUUGAUGUUUAACCAUUGUGCUUAAGCAGUGGCUCAGGAGAGACUUCCAAGGUUCCACUUCAGAUGUCCACCAACAUAUGUAUAUGUGAAGGCAAUGGAAAAGAGUCAGGUCCAUACUCCCACUCCCCUAGAGUGAUACAAUCCCAAAGCAGCUCCACAGGUGCUUUGUUGUCUUGCAGUUGUGCACUGUGCAGGGCCAAGGGCUGUUGAGUAAUCUGCAAGACUCUUCAUCCUCUUCAGGGUAAGUCACACAGACAGGAGAGUCCACAAAGGCUUUUAAGCUGUUAGCAGGGGGUUUGCUUCCUGCCCCAGUCUAUUUGUGAGUGUGACUUAAGAGCUAAAUGCACUUGAUGCUCUUACUAAUCACAGGAGUAAAUCCUAACAGUUGUGCCUUAGUGGGUAAGAAAAGUCUCCAGAUGAUGUCUUGUCUUUUUAAAUGCGCAUCGAUUAAAGUGCCAUGAGCACUUUUGUUAAAUAGAGCAAAAGUAUCUGCUCAGAUAAUUAAUCUGUCAUGCCUCCCUGUACAUUUGUUAUCUGCGUUUCUGCAUCUGAGCUAGUUGACCAGAAUUUCUUUAGUGGGGAAAAAAAGCACCCUUGAAGUUCAGGAUCCCUCCAUUGUCCUAAUGUUAUUUCCUUCAUGCCUCCAAGUGCCUCCUGUUUUAUGGAUUCUGGCUUCCCACACGGCUACCUCCAGGCCAUGUUGUGAGUUUCCCAGUUCAUACAUUCCCUUUUUAUCUGGAUAAUAAUUCAUCUGGGUGAUGUCUGUUGCAGUGCUGUUGGUGUUCAGGAGCACACAAUCACAGAAUGAUUGUAUGCAGGAGAUUUUAUUGAAGAGCUCUGGGUGUCAGGGGUACAGACCCAAAUCUGACCCGACAUGGUUUAGAACUGAACAUGUUUUAUAUUCUAUCAUUAUAUAACUUCCAUAUUAAUUAUUAAACUGACAUUGUUCCAUUGUAUUAUUGAUUUCAUCCAGUCUUGGAUUUCUCGUGAUCCCCCUCAAACCUCUACCAUGGUUUCUCAUGAUUCUUUAAACAAUAAUUAUAUCUGAUCACAUCUAACAAUUAUAUAAUUUAUCCCAUACUGACUGCACAGGUGCAGUUCCACAUGAUCUAGCAAACACAAGGUCUAACAUUUCCCAGAGCCUACCUUUAACACUUUCCCAGGGUCCACUAAGCCCAACUUUCUUUCUAGCUCCCCAGAUUUCCUGUGAUUUUAAAAUCUUACUUUCAGUGUGGCAGGGUGGUAGAAAUGCUUCAGCUUUCUUUGAGGCAUCUCAGAAGCUGCUCAGAGGAAGGCCAUAGGAACAGCCAUUUCCAGUCCAUGCAUGCAGCCCCACAUUUCUCCCCACAGAGAAGAGCAAGGUGCUGUGGUGGUGUUCACGGGGUCCCAGGAUGAGGGAAGAGACAAGAAUGUUGACUCCAUGUUUCAGAAGGCCUGGUUUAUUAUUUUAUGAUAUAUAUCAUAUUGAAAACUAGACUAAAAUAAUAGAAAAAAGGAUUUCUGCAGAAGGCUGGCUAAGAAUAGAAAAGGAAUGAAUAACAAAGGUUUGUCUCUGACCGAGACAGUCUGGGCAGCUGGGCUGGGAUUGGCCAUUAAUUAGAAACACCCAGAUGAGACCAAUCCCAGAUCCACCUGUUGCAUCCCACAGCAGCAGAUAAUCAUUGUUUGGGUUUUGUUCUUGAGGCCUCUCAGCUUCUCAGGAGGGAAAAAAUCCCAAGGAAAGGAUUUUUUCAUAAAACAUGUCGGUGAUUCUUCCCAAGAAUAUUUCUGGGUUUCACAUUCUCUGAACCUCAGAGGAAGAAAACACAAUUCUUAUCUCAUUUGUGUUUGUGCCGGAGUAGAAUGCUGUGUGGAGAUUGUUUACCCAGAGUGAUGGAGUUUUGUUUCCUUGGCCUGUCAGGGCCAAGUGUGUGUGUGUCUGUCGGGACUGUUGGGUGACAAUCACGAGAUUCCGGGCAGUGUGCUCGGCAGAUUCAGUUUAGAUGUAAUGUAAUAUAAUGCAAUAUAGAAUGAUACAGUGUAAUGAAGUAAUUAAUUAGCCUUCUUCUAAGAUGGAGUCAGAUGCAUCAUUGUCUCCUCUCAUCGGGGUUGCCUGCAAAUUCAAUGCAUGCACACGCACACGCCACAGAGAGCUCAGCAGGGCAAAGACUGGAAGGGUCUUUGCAUGAUAAAUUCCAGCAGGGGUUUUAUUGCAUCCCUCACAACAGAAGGACCAGAGACAACAGAGCAAACCAUGGGCUCUGCACCAUUUAAGUGUGGGGUCGGUGACCAUGAACUGAGGGCAAAGGGGUGGGCAAAGGGGUGGGCAAAGGGCAGCAAGCUGUAGGGGGGAUGAGGGAUGAAUAAUUGGGGUGGGCAGUGUCAACUGGCCAAUGGGGGAGGCAAUCUGAUAUAGAUUGGCAGUAGUGCUGCAGAGCAUCAAGAGUUAAGUCUUCUCCAACAGCCUAGGUGGGGAAAACUGUGAUACAGAGUUGGAGGGAGAGGAGACGGAGGAUUCCACAACUCCCCUGUUUUUCCUUAUUAUGAAGACUUCCCCGGUGGACCUCUGCAGACAAUUAACUAAACAGGGAAAUGGGAGUAAAAACAGUGAUUACAGCCCAAAAACUUCCUUGAACAAACAAUGAAACCCAUCCUGUCCUCUCCUGUUCUCUGUAAAGUCCCUUGAUGUCAUAUGAGUUCUUCUCAGCUUUUAAGUCCUUUACUUGCUCCUUCAGCUUCUGGAUGUAUACAUGGAUAGAUGGUGAGUGCAAAGAAAAGGUGAAGCACAACAUCCUUUCAAAGUCGUGGCAGCUGUGUCCAUGGGUGAGCAGUGAAAAGUCUGUUGCUGCUGGUUUUAUAGUGUUACAUGCUUGGUGUUAUUAGCAUUUGUUAGCAGCUCACUCGGUGCUUAGGACACAGCAUUGGUUUGCUUUCUUAGCCCUUUCAGUUCUCAGAGAUUAUCAGUGACAGCUCUGUGGCUUCCCUUCCUUUCCCUGUCUCUCCAGCCACCCAGCCUGCACACCCAGCCUCCUCUCCUUCACCAGCUGGGCAGGGUCAGGCUGCCUCGGGAUGUCACUUGUUUAAAGCAGAAUUACCUGGCUGUCAGAGAUGCUCCUGCUCCUGGAAUUGGACAAAAGAGAGCUAAAGAGAUCCAAGUUAAUGUGGUUACUGUGGGUAACCAGAAUAAUUUACCAACAAAAAUUGGCCUACCAAAGGCUAGUGAUAUCAUUUAAAAACUUCAAGGAGGCAAAUCUUGCCCUGCCAUGUGAUGGGAGCUGAACAGGGAUUUAAAGCAGCCAGUGGUCCUCUUGGCAUUUGGCUGUACCUGUGGAAAGAACAGUGACAGCCUUUUAGAGGACUCUUUAAAGCUUAACCCAAGGAACCCUCUCACUAAACAGAAUUUUGGAGAAAGCUCCUGCCACUGACCUGACCAUGUUUCUCCAGCACUGUUCAUCAUGCCCUGAAAACCUUGGCUGCCCUCAACACCUGGGUCCAGCUGACAAUUUCAGCCAUGGAGUUCCUCAAUUCUGUUUUUUUUUUCCCCCUGCUGAGGACCCUUGCUUUUCAACAGAGGAGAAAUUUCUCUUUGCUGGGAAGUGCUGGGGUGAAUUCGGGCUGCGUGUUUGCUUUGCUCUCCCCCGUGCCCCAUCUGGGCUGUAAUUGCCCUCGUUCUGUCUUUGUUCAGGCUUUCCAUUAUUCAAUAACACCUUGUUUACUCUGUAAUGACUCUUUUAGGGUCCUCUGUGCCUCUGGGAUGCAUUUGCCAACACAAUGAGGGCUGCUGACAUUUUGUAAGAGUGUCCCACGCAGAUUUUUGUUUUCUUCAGUUGCCUAAGAAGGUUAUCUGCUAAUUCAGCAAACCAACAAAGUGAGAUCUUGGAUCAAGCCAGGCAUGGGAGGGUGAGAAGAUUUCUGGGUUAUUGGAGUGUUACCUUAACCUCACAAUUCAUAAUUUUACUUUGUUUGUGGGAGAGCAGGGACCUUAAUCAGGGAGAUAAAAUGAAGACAAGUGUGUAACUGGAGGACAGAAUUAUAUCUCGUGAUGAGGUCCUCUAGUAAAUCUGAGGUUUAUAGUUUUUGCUGUCUUUUUAAAUUUAAUUUUGUUUUGUUCAAAGAAAAGCCUUAAAAAUUCAUCCAAAAUGAGAAAGAGAAGAAGGGCAUAUGAAUUAGUCAUGGGCAAUAACACAUGAAUUUUUCACAAUAUUUGUGGAACAGUGUUCAAGGAGUUUUUAUAAAUAUUGCAAUACUGGUAAAACUUUAGUGGAAAGUAAUCUAUGGGUUUUCAGAAGGCUGUGACAUGGAAAUAUUUCCCCUCAGCCUUCUAUUUGCUGGGUUUUAUUUCAACUUCUGUUAGUGUCAUUCACUUUCACAUAUGUAUUUGUGUUUUAUUAAGUUUUCUGGUACCCAUGGUGGUACCUGUAGCCCUGGAAAUGUAUUUAUUUUUACAGUUACAUUUCUUUUCGGGUUAAAAGGGUUCCUGUCAUUUUCAUGCUCUUAGAAUACGCUGAGAAUUGUAGGCCACCUGAAGAGAAUGCACCCUCCCCCUGUUCAAAUGUGUGGUUAAUAACCAGGUCACUGUUUUUGGAACAGCCCAAAUGCAACCAAAACAAUAAACUCAAAAUAGCAGCUCUGGCUUCUGAUUGCCUACAAGUGAAGAAGCAGCUUUGCAUUGUUACACAGCUACAGGGACAUUAUUUUCCUCAUCUUUCAUCUAAUUUUCUUCCCAUCUGCAGAUUAAACAUCUGCCAGUUGGCAUUUAAAUGACAUGGGUAAUGUCCUGACUCUCAAAAUCAAAAUUCCCAUUAACUACUGUGGGGCCAGGGAAGCUGUUGCUCUGGGAAUUCAUCUUCCCUCUCCCUGUGCUCUGCCCUCCCUGCCUCAGCACAUUUCCCAUUCCACUGUCGCUUCCUUGCAGGCAGUUCAUCUCCUUUCUGCCUUUGAUUGAUUGAUUUACCUCAAUCAAUGUUAAUUUUUCUUCCUUCACAAGCUCAGCUGUGCUCCUUAUCUACGCUCUCCACUCUUUCAGUGCUGGCACUGCUCUGUGUCUGAGGAAGAGGAAGGAGGGAUGAAAGAAGCUGAGAGGAGGAGGAGGAAAGGGCACAGUAAAGGCUCUUUCCCUUUCCCUGCUAUUUGAACUGACUCAUAAAGCUGUGUCUGGUCUGGUAAAAUCAGAGUUUCCUCACCUAAAAAAUCAGAUUUUUUAAAAUGAAAACAACAUAUCUAGCCUCACAAGCACAUGUGAAAACGUAGAACCUUCAGAAGCAAGCAUUCAUUUUGAUACUUUCAGUCCAAGCCAGCACAAGAUAAAUUUCUGAAAUAAAUGAUCUUUAUAAAUAAUUCUUGCCUGAUGCUGAGUUUGGUUAGCUCACACCAGUGGAGGGAUGCAUUCUCAGCCCCAGAGCUGUGAUGCCUCAGAAUGCUUCAGCAAACGAGGAAAUUCAGUUUACAACAUGGGUUUGGAAACUCUCCAGUCAUUUAAGUCCUGAAAACCCAGCUGACACGGUGUGAGCAUUUCUGCACAGAUUGAUCAAUUAGGGACAGAUGAGAUCAGCCUUUCCAAAUGGAUGCCUUGGGAAUGUGUGUGAUAGAACACCGCUGUGAUUAAAGCAUCCAGGGAUAUAAUCACCUCACCAACUUCCAGAAAUCCAUCACAGAUGGUUGGAAGUCAGGAGGGAUUCCUGUCUUGUCUCUUUAUAUUCAUGUCUCAUUCAGACAUCUCUCAGAAGCAUUAGGAUAUUUUAGCAAAAAACUGCUGUGUAAUUAAAACCAAUAAGUUUCACUGUUUUAUUUGUGGCUUUUUUCUUAAAAUCCAUGAAAUUCAGUGAAGCUUUCCAUGGACUUGCAGCGUGCUACCACAUGGUGUGGGAUGCUUCACUUUUAAAACUCGAGGAGGAAGCUCAGUUUAGGUGUUGAGAUGGAGAUUGUUCCUCUGUGUGAGACUUCCACGUGUCAGGUGUGAAAGCAAGGUCAGUACAUCUCAUUUCCAUAGGUUAUUUCUGGCAUUGCUGGCACAGUCUGGUAACUUCUAGGAGGUCUGGAAAGCUGAGAGUUUCAUGUAGUUUAAGUCUUUGUAUCCCUAAAAUUACAUCUUCCUUACACAGGGCACCUAUCUUGUAAGAGUUCUUGGGAAGGAUGCAACCAAUUUUACAUUCUCAGAAGCAGGAAGAGGAGAGGAAUUCCUGGCUGGUUGUGUGCCUCCAAUUUCAGUUCCUUUGUGUUCCCUGACAGAAGGGAUCAAACUGCUGUGGAAUUCCAGGUUUAGCAGGUAGGAACCAUCCUGUCUGAGCCUCGUGAAAUGUGAAAAUGAAGGAAAUCCGUGAGUGGCAGGUGGCAGGCUGAGCUGGGGAAGGGCAGAGCAGCACAGGGCUGCAGAGAUGCUCUCAGAGCUUUCUCUGGUGGCUAAGGAAACUGCUCCAAGAGUCCUUCCUAGCUAGACUGGCAUCGAGAUAUCUGCUGGCAGACGUGCCAUCGUUUCAAACCUAUCUCCAUCUGUGUUUGCUUUCUUCUAAGGGGAAAAUUAAAAAAGGGAGAGAAAGCUCACAACAAAAUGCACUUGGUUUCCUUGGACACGUGUGUUUUUUGAUGGGGUGUGGUCUGGUGUAAGGGAACUCUGCUGCUGCUUCUAUGGGACCUGUCUGUAGUUUCCAGAGUCUUUAUUUCACCUCUGCUUAACCCAUCUUCUGUGAUAUAUUGCAUCCUGUUGAGAGAUAAAUUGCCUGCAGCAUGAAGUGAUGCCACAUAAACGUUGAGUCUCAAGCAAGAUCCCCCCCUCCAUGCAAGUAAUCUCCCUCUGGGUGCAAGGGAGCUAGGCAGAAACUUGCAGAAAACAUCCAUUUGUGGCACAC